UACGUAGGGGGCUAGCGUUGUCCGGAAUUAUUGGGCGUAAAGAGCUCGUAGGCGGUGUGUCGCGUCGGCCGUGAAAACCUGCAGCUUAACUGUGGGCUUGCGGUCGAUACGGGCAUCACUGGAGUUCGGCAGGGGAGACUGGAAUUCCUGGUGUAGCGGUGAAAUGCGCAGAUAUCAGGAGGAACACCGGUGGCGAAGGCGGGUCUCUGGGACGGUACUGACGCUGAGACGCGAAAGCGUGGGGAGCGAACAGG
rnacentral:rRNA from 1 species